rnacentral:misc_RNA from 1 species
GAAAUGCGAUAAGUAAUGUGAAUUGCAGAAUUCAGUGAAUCAUCGAAUCUUUGAACGCACAUUGCGCCCGCGAGUAUUCUCGCGGGCAUGCCUGUCCGAGCGUCAUUUCAACCCUCAGAGCCCGUCUGCUUGUCAGGCGCGGCGCUGGUGUUGGGGAUCGGCUUCACCGCCGUCCCCCAAAUACAGUGGCGGUCUCGCUGCAGCCUCCCCUGCGUAGUAGCAACACUCGCAUGCGGAGGGCGGCGCGGCCACGCCGUAAAACCCCCGACUUUCUGAACGUUGACCUCGGAUCAGGUAGGAAUACCCGCUGAACUUAA